rnacentral:rRNA from 1 species
GAUGAACGCUGGCGGCGUGCCUAAUACAUGCAAGUCGAGCGAACAGACGAGGAGCUUGCUCCUCUGACGUUAGCGGCGGACGGGUGAGUAACACGUGGAUAACCUACCUAUAAGACUGGGAUAACUUCGGGAAACCGGAGCUAAUACCGGAUAAUAUAUUGAACCGCAUGGUUCAAUAGUGAAAGACGGUUUUGCUGUCACUUAUAGAUGGAUCCGCGCCGCAUUAGCUAGUUGGUAAGGUAACGGCUUACCAAGGCGACGAUGCGUAGCCGACCUGAGAGGGUGAUCGGCCACACGGGAACUGAGACACGGUCCAGACUCCUAAGGGAGGCAGCAGUAGGGAAUCUUCCGCAAUGGGCGAAAGCCUGACGGAGCAACGCCGCGUGAGUGAUGAAGGUCUUCGGAUCGUAAAACUCUGUUAUUAGGGAAGAACAAAUGUGUAAGUAACUAUGCACGUCUUGACGGUACCUAAUCAGAAAGCCACGGCUAACUACGCG